GAUGAACGCUAGCGGCAGGCCUAACACAUGCAAGUCGAGGGGCAGCACAGAAACAGCAAUGUUUUGGUGGCGACCGGCGGACGGGUGCGUAACGCGUAUGCAACCUACCUUUAACAGGGGGAUAACGGAGAGAAAUUUCCACUAAUACCCCAUAACAUCGAUCAAGGCAUCUUGAUUGGUUGAAAACUCCGGUGGGUAAAGAUGGGCAUGCGUUGUAUUAGGUAGUUGGUGAGGUAAUGGCUCACCAAGCCUACGAUACAUAGGGGGACUGAGAGGUUAGCCCCCCACACUGGUACUGAGACACGGACCAGACUCCUACGGGAGGCAGCAGUGAGGAAUAUCGGUCAAUGGGGGCAACCCUGAACCAGCCAUGCCGCGUGCAGGAAGACGGCUCUAUGAGUUGUAAACUGCUUUUAAACAGGGAUAAAGCACAGUAUGUAUACUGUGUUGAAGGUACUGUAAGAAUAAGGAUCGGCUAACUCCGUGCCAGCCGCCGCGGUAA
rnacentral:rRNA from 1 species